AUGGAUGACAAGGUCACCGGGAGAGUGCUAUUCCAAGGGCUGAGUAAUAAUGUUGUCUAUCCACUUCCCAUAAUCAAACCACAGAGGUCUAUUUCUCCUGUUUUUAAUCCAGUUGCAUUUGUGGGAUAAAAGAUUUCUUCUACAUUGUGACAUUGUCGAUUAGGUCAUCCUGCACAUUCCAUUGUCACUGCAACACUUGAUAAGUCUUGUAUAUCUUUUCCUUGUAACUCUCAAUCUCAUACUUGUAAAGCUUGUUUGCAAGGCAAGUUUACCAAGUUCCCUUUUCCUGUAAUUGCUUCGAAGUUACUUACUCCAUUUAAAGUAAUUCACAUAGAUGUUUGGGUCCCUCACCUAGUCUGUCUAUAGAAGGUUACAAGUAUUAUGUUUCCUUCAUUGAUGAAUGUACAAGAUAUACUUGGAUUUUUCCAUUAAAUAAUAAAAUU
rnacentral:sRNA from 1 species